UAAUUAUUAGGUGAUGGAUCCAAUGAUGACUUUACAUCUGCUGGUGAACGAUGGGUCUAACUUAACUAAGAAAUAUAUCAAUAAUUAUUAGGUGAGGCCACAAGACUUAGAGAUCGAUGUCGCUGCAUCUUGCUUAGUAAAUCAAUGAAAAAAGAGUUAUCCACUCAUUGGUCUAUAUAUCACCAAUAACUGUUAGGUAAGAUGCGUGU
rnacentral:lncRNA from 1 species